CCUACGGGUGGCAGCAGUGAGGAAUAUUGGUCAAUGGCCGCAGGGCUGAACCAGCCAAGUCGCGUGAGGGAUGACGGUCCUAUGGAUUGUAAACCUCUUUUGUCAGGGAGCAAAGGGCGCCACGUGUGGCGCUUUGCGAGUACCUGAAGAAAAAGCAUCGGCUAACUCCGUGCCAGCAGCCGCGGUAAUACGGAGGAUGCGAGCGUUAUCCGGAUUUAUUGGGUUUAAAGGGUGCGCAGGCGGAAUGUCAAGUCAGCGGUAAAAUUUCGGGGCUCAACCCCGUCGUGCCGUUGAAACUGGCGUCUGUGAGUGAGCGAGAAGUAUGCGGAAUGCGGGGUGUAGCGGUGAAAUGCAUAGAUAUCACGCAGAACUCUGAUUGCGAAGGCAGCAUACCGGCGCUCAACUGACGCGCAUGCACGAAAGCGUGGGUAUCGAACAGGAUUAGAUACCCUGGUGUC
rnacentral:rRNA from 1 species